rnacentral:rRNA from 1 species
AGCAGCCGCGGUAAUUCCAGCUCCAAUAGCGUAUAUUAAAGUUGUUGCAGUUAAAAAGCUCGUAGUUGAAUUUCGGGGUUAGUAGGCUGGUCAUGCCUCUGGUAUGUACUGGUCUCACUGAUUCCUCCUUCCUGAUGAACCGUAAUGCCAUUAAUUUGGUGUUGCGGGGAAUUUGGACUGUUACUUUGAAAGAAUUAGAGUGUUUAAAGCAAGCUAACGCUUGAAUACAUUAGCAUGGAAUAAUGAAAUAGGACGUUCGAUCCUAUUUUGUUGGUUUCUAGGAUUGACGUAAUGAUUAAUAGGGAUAGUUGGGGGCAUUAGUAUUCAAUUGUCAGAGGUGAAAUUCUUGGAUUUAUUGAAGACUAACUACUGCGAAAGCAUUUGCCAAGGAUGUUUUCAUUAAUCAAGAACGAAAGUUAGGGGAUCGAAGACGAUCAGAUACCGUCGUAG